rnacentral:tRNA from 1 species
AGGAAUGUAGCUUAGCGGUAGAGCAGUUGCCUAGCAAGCAGGAAGCCUUAAGUUCAAUUCUCAGUAUCACAA